rnacentral:rRNA from 1 species
UAGGGAAUAUUGCUCAAUGGGGGGAAACCCUGAAGCAGCAACGCCGCGUGGAGGAUGACACUUUUCGGAGCGUAAACUCCUUUUGUUGGGGAAGAACCAUGACGGUACCCAACGAAUAAGCACCGGCUAACUCCGUGCCAGCAGCCGCGGUAAUACGGAGGGUGCAAGCGUUACUCGGAAUCACUGGGCGUAAAGGACGCGUAGGCGGAUUAUCAAGUCUUUUGUGAAAUCUAACAGCUCAACUGUUAAACUGCUUGAGAAACUGAUAAUCUAGAAUGAGGGAGAGGCAGAUGGAAUUGGUGGUGUAGGGGUAAAAUCCGUAGAGAUCACCAGGAAUACCCAUUGCGAAGGCGAUCUGCUGGAACUCAACUGACGCUAAUGCGUGAAAGCGU